rfam:Drosophila mojavensis strain TSC#15081-1352.22 Ctg01_9647, whole genome shotgun sequence.
GUUUUGGCCAGCAACGAUGGCGCGCAGUUCGAGCACAGAGAUUGCGUUCUUAUAACGUUGGCUAUAAUAAACAUCUAUCUAUCCGUAGCGUCACAAUGUGUAAUUAACCGACAUUUGGCGUAUGAACCGAAGAGACAUUUAC